GAGUUUGAUCCUGGCUCAGAAUCAACGCUGGCGGCGUGCCUCAGACAUGCAAGUCGAACGCGAAAGUCCCCUUCGGGGGACAAGUAGAGUGGCGCACGGGUGAGUAACACGUAGGUAAUCUACCUUCGGAUGGGGAAUAACAAUCGGAAACGAUUGCUAAUACCGCAUAAUGCAGCGGCACCUAAUGGUGACAGUUGUUAAAGCGGGGGAUCGAAAGACCUCGCGUCUGAAGAGGAGCCUGCGGCGGAUUAGCUAGUUGGUAAGGUAAUGGCUUACCAAGGCAACGAUCCGUAACCGGCCUGAGAGGGCGGUCGGUCACACUGACACUGACGUACGGGUCAGACUCCUACGGGAGGCAGCAGUCGGGAAUUUUGGGCAAUGGGCGAAAGCCUGACCCAGCAACGCCGCGUGAAGGAUGAAAUCCCUCGGGAUGUAAACUUCGCAAGAACGGGAAGAAUAAGUAGGGGACAAUACCCCCUAUGAUGACGGUACCGUUUGUAAGCUCCGGCUAACUCCGUGCCAGCAGCCGCGGUAAUACGGGGGGAGCAAGCGUUGUUCGGAUUUACUGGGCGUAAAGGGCGCGUAGGCGGCCAGCGCAAGUCAGUUGUGAAAUCUCCGGGCUUAACUCGGAAAGGUCAACUGAUACUGCGCGGCUAGAGUGCGG
rnacentral:rRNA from 1 species